AUUGAACGCUGGCGGCAGGCUUAACACAUGCAAGUCGAGCGGGGUGAUGGUGCUUGCACUAUCACUUAGCGGCGGACGGGUGAGUAAUGCUUAGGAAUCUGCCUAUUAGUGGGGGACAACAUCUCGAAAGGGAUGCUAAUACCGCAUACGUCCUACGGGAGAAAGCAGGGGAUCACUUGUGACCUUGCGCUAAUAGAUGAGCCUAAGUCGGAUUAGCUAGUUGGUGGGGUAAAGGCCUACCAAGGCGACGAUCUGUAGCGGGUCUGAGAGGAUGAUCCGCCACACUGGGACUGAGACACGGCCCAGACGCCUACGGGAGGCAGCAGUGGGGAAUAUUGGACAAUGGGGGGAACCCUGAUCCAGCCAUGCCGCGUGUGUGAAGAAGGCCUUAUGGUUGUAAAGCACUUUAAGCGAGGAGGAGGCUCUUUUGGUUAAUACCCAAGAUGAGCGGACGUUACUCGCAGAAUAAGCACCGGCUAACUCUGUGCCAGCCGCCGCUGUAA
rnacentral:rRNA from 1 species